UACGUAGGGUGCAAGCGUUGUCCGGAAUUAUUGGGCGUAAAGAGCUCGUAGGCGGCUUGUCGCGUCGGCUGUGAAAACCUGGGGCUCAACCCCGGGCCUGCAGCCGAUACGGGCAAGCUAGAAUUCGGUAGGGGAGACUGGAAUUCCUGGUGUAGCGGUGAAAUGCGCAGAUAUCAGGAGGAACACCAGUGGCGAAGGCGGUUGCCUGGAGCUUUGCUGACGCUGAGGCGCGAAAGCGUGGGGAGCGAUCCGG
rnacentral:rRNA from 1 species